GACGAACGCUGGCGGCGUGCUUAACACAUGCAAGUCGAACGGAAAGGCCCUGCUUGCAGGGUACUCGAGUGGCGAACGGGUGAGUAACACGUGGGUGAUCUGCCCUGCACUUCGGGAUAAGCCUGGGAAACUGGGUCUAAUACCGGAUAGGAGCCAUUUUUAGUGUGAUGGUUGGAAAGUUUUUUCGGUGUAGGAUGAGCUCGCGGCCUAUCAGCUUGUUGGUGGGGUAAUGGCCUACCAAGGCGGCGGCGGGUAGCCGGCCUGUGAGUGUGGGCGGCCACAUUGGGACUGAGAUACGGCCCAGACUCCUACGGGGGGCAGCAGUGGGGAAUAUUGCACAAUGGGCGCGAGCCUGAUGCAGCGACACCGCGUGGGGGAUGACGGCCUUCGGGUUGUAAACUCCUUUCGCUAGGGACGAAGCUUUUUGUGACGGUACCUAGAUAAGAAGCACCGGCUAACUACGUGCCAGCCGCCGCCGUAA
rnacentral:rRNA from 1 species